UGGGGAAUAUUGGACAAUGGGCGGAAGCCUGAUCCAGCAAUACCGCGUGUGUGAAGAAGGCCUUCGGGUUGUAAAGCACUUUCAGUUAGGAAGAAGUUAUGGGUGGUAAUACUGCUCAUGAUUGACGUUACUGACAGAAGAAGCACCGGCUAACUCUGUGCCAGCAGCCGCGGUAAUACAGAGGGUGCGAGCGUUGAUCGGAAUUACUGGGCGUAAAGGGUGCGUAGGCGGGAUAAUAAGAUAGGCGUGAAAUCCCUGGGCUUAACCUGGGAACUGCGUUUAAGACUGUUAUUCUAGAGUGUGGUAGAGGGAAGUGGAAUUUCCGGUGUAGCGGUGAAAUGCGUAGAUAUCGGAAGGAACAUCAGUGGCGAAGGCGACUUCCUGGACCAACACUGACGCU
rnacentral:rRNA from 1 species